ACACACAGGACUGGCACCUUUGGACGUAGGUCUGUCCCACCCAGGCUCCCUUCACCCAGACCGGACCAGGUCUCCUCCCCAGACCGGACCAGGUCUCUCACCCAGACCGGACCAGGUCUCCCACCCAGACCGGACCAGGUCUCUCACCCAGACCGGACCAGGUCUCUCACCCAGACCGGACCAGGUCUCUCACCCAGACCGGACCAGGUCUCCUCCCCAGACCGGACCAGGUCUCCUCCCCAGACUGGGAUGGUUCUGGCCUGCCCAGUGAAAACACAACAUCAAUGUUUGGGGGAGACACAGAGAGAGAAGAGGCCAGGCCGAGUGCAUCCGCACGGCCUUUCACCCCAGCUGGCCCUGGCUCCGUCGGUGAGGUGCAUCAUGUUGACGGACAGAGCGUCUGUUUGGUCAUUUCCUUAUAUAUACGGGUCCAGGAGGACUACAGGUAGACUGC
ensembl:lncRNA